rnacentral:rRNA from 1 species
UACGUAGGGGGCAAGCGUUGUCCGGAAUCAUUGGGCGUAAAGCGCGUGUAGGCGGCUUGGUAAGUCCGCUCUGAAAGCCCGGGGCUCAACCCCCGGGAGGCGGGUGGAUACUGUCAAGCUCGAGUCCGGAAGAGGCGAGUGGAAUCCUGGUGUAGCGGUGAAAUGCGCAGAUAUCAGGAGGAACACCAAUGGCGAAGGCAGCUCGCUGGGACGUGACUGACGCUGAGACGCGAAAGCGUGGGGAGCAAACAGG